rnacentral:snoRNA from 1 species
AGAGACGAUGAUCAACCGAUUUAUGCGUUCUGUUUGAGCUGAUUUCAUUCACUGAAGCAUCACAUUGACCUUUUUAUGGUCUACCUCUACUGAUCUGCC